AUUGAACGCUGGCGGCAGGCCUAACACAUGCAAGUCGAACGAGUGGCGGACGGGUGAGUAAUGUCUGGGAAACUGCCCGAUGGAGGGGGAUAACUACUGGAAACGGUAGCUAAUACCGCAUACCAUCGGAUGUGCCCAGAUGGGAUUAGCUUGUAGGUGAGGUAAGGGCGCACAUAUGCGACGAUCCGUAGCUGGUCUGAGAGGAUGACCAGCCAGCCUGGAACUGAUACUCGUUCCAGACUCCUACGGGAGGCAGCAGGUGGGAAUAGUGCACAAUGGGCGCAAGCUUGAUGCAGCCAGGCCGAGGGUAUGAAGAAGGCAUUCGGGUUGUAAAGUACUUUCAGCGGGGAGGCGUUACCCGCAGAAGAAGCACCGGCUAACUCCGUGCCAGCAGCCGCGGUAAUUC
rnacentral:rRNA from 1 species